GGGAGUUGGCCUCCCGGAGUCGGCUUACAGGAGCGGGCUUCAAACCGCCCGGUACUGCUGCGUUCAAAAGGCGUGGUGGUGAGCGACCGCGGAAAAGUCAUCCAUCAGGGUGGCAGGU
rfam:Burkholderia glathei PML1(12) contig00221, whole genome shotgun sequence.